UUGCCAUUGUGGCCCUUAGAAGAAGAGGUGAAGAGAUGUCUGGAAAAGGGAAGAGGCGAAGUGCUAGAUUACUGAAGCUUGAAGAGCAGAAGAACGAUGACACUACUGCCACUGGUUGUCUCCUAGAUCCUUGGCAGAUAAUCCGAAACAGCAUUGCUGGUGUUCGAGGGAAGAGAAAAAGGAAUGAAGAAAUCCAGCAUUUGCAGGGAGAAGCUUCUUCUAGCCAAGCACUGUGUGCAACAACCGAUAUCAAUAAUUUGUCAAGCAAAAGUUCAGCAGUACAAAUCAUUGAGUACAUUCUUGAUACACUAGAGAUGAGAGACACUCAUGAGUUAUUUGCAAUGCCUGAUGACAUCCAAGUAAGCCAUGGAGGAAUAUAUCAAAAAAUAUUUAAGUUCAUGUUAAAGAAUGAUAAUACGCUGUUUGUUCUCUCAUGAAAAAAAACAUUAACAAAUCACUUAUUUCUUGGUUUCAUGUGCUGAUGUACUAUGUGUUAUUAUCUUAUAGAAAGAUAAUUUAACAUGUUAACGCAGGUAACUGAUUAUGCAGAACGGGUGAACAGGCCCGGUGACUUUGCAACAUUAAGGCAGAAGAACAAGGAUGGCAUGUACAACACACUGGAGCAAUUCGAGAAUGAUGUUUACAUGGUGUUCCAGAAAGCAAUGUCCAUAAACAGCGAGGACACUAUACCUUACAGAGAGG